ACUUGUAGCGCAAUGAAUAGCGCAUUGGACUUGUAAUCCAAAGGUCGUGGUUUCGAAUCCCACAAGAGUG